AAUCUUAGAAAAUCGGUGAACCAGUCUAUUAUCUGAUUACAUGACGUGUACGGGUCAGAUGCAAGCGUCCAGUAGAUUAGGGAUAUCGAGGUCAACACGCUGGCGGUUGGGGAAAGAUUUAGGCGAAUGUGCGGUCAAGGUCAAAAUUGCGAGAGGCUGAAUCGAAGUGAAAUACCGCAACAAAAACGUUCGAUUUGGACAUUAACGCGUCUAACUGAAUGAGUCACAAUGUUUCUACCACAAGAGUUGUAAAUAUUGAACAGAAAGGGCUUCAUCUUCAAGAUGAAAACUGCAAAAAAUGGCCACCAACAAUAAUGGGCCAGGACUGAGGAGUUCCAAGAAAUGAGUAUUCUUCAGCCCACAAAUAUCAGUGCUGCCCCGCUGCCCAAAACCAGAGUGUGGCAACAAGUAAAUGGACCUUGACAAAUUUCCUCUAUGUUAGAGCCAGUCCCUUACACAAGUGGCCUACUUUUGCACAGCUGAGGUUGUAAUCAAACACAGCAGUAGGUAUGAAAUGCGGAAACUGUUCCAACUUGAUCUUCAACAGUUGAGUUACUCCUCAUCACAAUACCUGAACUGAAAACAAUCGGUGAUGAUCCUGCACUUCACUUCUACCUCACAGUGCUCUUCCCUAUAAACGCUAGAGGAAAGUUUGAAAAUGAAAAACUUGUCAUUGCAAGUGUGAAAGGACCAAUUGAUUCUUAACGAAACAACCUGCCUCAAUGCUUUAGCUGACACUACAUCAAGUCAACACAAGGCAAUUUGUUUUUCUCGCAACCUGACCGGUAUGUUGAAUCUGAUCAAAAUUGUACACAACCACUGGUCAAGAAUAUAGAAAUACAAGUUGUAUGAUC